rnacentral:lncRNA from 1 species
GGGGAAGAGAGGGGGGUGGAAAUGGAAGAGGGGGAAGAGAGGGGGAGUGAAAGGGAAGAGGAUCGAGAGAGGAGAAAGAGUGAAGGUCAGGACAGUAGAGAGGGAAGAGAGUGGAGAAAUAGUGAAGGUCAGGACAGUAGAGAGAGAAGAGAGUGGAGAAAUAGUGAAGGUCAGGACAGUAGAGAGGGAAGAGAGUGGAGAAAUAGUGAAGGUCAGGACAGUAGAGAGGGAAAGAGAGUGGAGAAAUAGUGAAGGUCAGGACAGUAGAGAGGGAAGAGAGUGGAGAAAGAGUGAAGGUCAGGACAUUAGAGAGGGAAGAGAGUGGAGAAAUAGUGAAGGUCAGGACAGUAGAGAGGGAAGAGAGUGGAGAAAUAGUGAAGGUCAGGACAGUAGAGAGAGAAGAGAGUGGAGAAAUAGUGAAGGUCAGGACAGUAGAGAGAGAAGAGAGUGGAGAAAGAGUGAAGGUCAGGACAGUAGAGAGGGAAAGAGAGUGGAGAAAUAGUGAAGGUCAGGACAGUAGAGAGAGAAGAGAGUGGAGAAAUAGUGAAGGUCAGGACAGUAGAGAGGGAAGAGAGUGGAGAAAUAGUGAAGGUCAGGACAGUAGAGAGAGAAGAGAGUGGAGAAAUAGUGAAGGUCAGGACAGUAGAGAGGGAAAGAGAGUGGAGAAAUAGUGAAGGUCAGGACAGUAGAGAGAGAAGAGAGUGGAGAAAUAGUGAAGGUCAGGACAGUAGAGAGGGAAGA